rnacentral:tRNA from 1 species
UCCUUCGUGGUGUAAUGGUUAUCACACUCGGCGCGUAUUCGAGAGGUCCGAGGUUCGAGUCCCGGCGAAGGCA